rnacentral:rRNA from 1 species
GUGGGGAAUCUUGCGCAAUGGGCGAAAGCCUGACGCAGCCAUGCCGCGUGAAUGAUGAAGGUCUUAGGAUUGUAAAAUUCUUUCACCGGGGACGAUAAUGACGGUACCCGGAGAAGAAGCUCCGGCUAACUUCGUGCCAGCAGCCGCGGUAAUACGAAGGGGGCUAGCGUUGCUCGGAAUUACUGGGCGUAAAGGGCGCGUAGGCGGACAGCUUAGUCAGAGGUGAAAGCCCAGGGCUCAACCUUGGAAUUGCCUUUGAGACUGGCUGUCUUGAGUUUGGGAGAGGUGAGUGGAACUCCGAGUGUAGAGGUGCAAUUCGUAGAUAUUCGGAAGAACACCAGUGGCGAAGGCGACUCACUGGCCCAAUACUGACGCUGAGGCGCGAAAGCGUGGGGAGCAAACAGGAUUAGAUACCCCUGUAGUCC